rnacentral:rRNA from 1 species
UACGGAGGGUGCAAGCGUUGCUCGGAAUUAUUGGGCGUAAAGGGCAGGUAGGUGGUCUCAUUUGUCUGGGGUGAAAGCCUUGAGCUUAACUCAAGAAGUGCCCCAGAAACGGUGAGACUAGAGUGCCGGAGAGGUGAGUGGAAUUCCCGGUGUAGCGGUGAAAUGCGUAGAGAUCGGGAGGAACACCAGAGGCGAAAGCGGCUCACUGGACGGUGACUGACACUCAACUGCGAAAGCGUGGGGAGCAAACAGG